rnacentral:tmRNA from 1 species
GGGGGCGAUUAGGAUUCGACGGAGUUCUAAAAGCCAGCAGAAGCAUGCCGAGGGGGUGACCACCCUCGUAAAUCCCAGUCACAACCCAAUAGUUGCCAACGACGACAACUACGCUCUCGCCGCCUAAACACCGGUAGAAAGCCAUCUGACCAGUUCGUGCCUGCGCGUCUGGCCUCAGGUGUCAACCUUCGCAGGCUCGCAGCACCGUCCGUUUGGCGCGAUACUGUCAAAUCACAGCCAAACUCGCCCCAUCGUCCUGGCCUUUGGGCUGAUGGCAGGCUAAAUCAAUAAAAGGUGCUAAGCAUGUAGCGUCUGCGGCGGCGGUUCGCCGGACGGGGGUUCAAUUCCCCCCGCCUCCACCA